rnacentral:rRNA from 1 species
CGGCCGAUGUCUGAUUAGCUAGUUGGUGGGGUAAAGGCUUACCAAGGCAACGAUCAGUAGUUGGUCUGAGAGGACGACCAACCACACUGGGACUGAGACACGGCCCAGACUCCUACGGGAGGCAGCAGUGGGGAAUUUUGGACAAUGGGCGAAAGCCUGAUCCAGCCAUGCCGCGUGAGUGAAGAAGGCCUUCGGGUUGUAAAGCUCUUUUAGUCGGAAAGAAAGAGUUGCAAUGAAUAAUUGUGAUUUAUGACGGUACCGACAGAAAAAGCACCGGCUAACUACGUGCCAGCAGCCGCGGUAAUACGUAGGGUGCGAGCGUUAAUCGGAAUUACUGGGCGUAAAGGGUGCGCAGGCGGUCUUGCAAGUCAGAUGUGAAAGCCCCGGGCUUAACCUGGGAAUUGCGUUUGAAACUACAAGGCUAGA